rnacentral:tRNA from 1 species
GCCCAGCUGGCUCAGUCUGUGGAGCACGUGACUUUUGAUCUUGAGGUUGUGAGUUCGAGUCCCACGUUGGGUG